rnacentral:rRNA from 1 species
GAUGAACGCUGGCGGCGUGCUUAACACAUGUAAGUCGAGCGAGAAGUUUUGAAAAGAUUCUUCGGAUGAAAUUUAAAAUGGAAAGCGGCGGACGGGUGAGUAACGCGUAGGCAACCUGCCCCAUACAAAGGGAUAGCAUUUGGAAACGAAUAUUAAUACCUUAUGAAACUUAACUAGUGCAUGCUAGGUAGGUCAAAGAUUUAUCGGUAUGGGAUGGGCCUGCGUCUGAUUAGCUAGUUGGUGAGGUAACGGCUCACCAAGGCGACGAUCAGUAGCCGACCUGAGAGGGUGAACGGCCACAUUGGAACUGAGACACGGUCCAAACUCCUACGGGAGGCAGCAGUGGGGAAUAUUGCACAAUGGGGGAAACCCUGAUGCAGCAACGCCGCGUGAACGAUGAAGGCCUUUGGGUCGUAAAGUUCUGUUCUAGGUGAUGAAAACUGACAGUAACCUAGGAGAAAGCCCCGGCUAACUCCGUG